AGCUCCAAUAGCGUAUAUUAAAGUUGUUGCAGUUAAAAAGCUCGUAGUUGAAUUUCUGGUGGGAGAAGGCAGUCCGACCCUUUGGGUGGGUACUCGCUCUCUCCGGCCAUCCUUGGUUGGAGCCUGUCUGGCAUUAAGUUGUCGGGCAGGGGAUGACCAUCGUUUACUGUGAAAAAAUUAGAGUGUUCAAAGCAGACUUAUGUCAUUGAAUAUAUUAGCAUGGAAUAAUAAAAUAGGACUACAGUGCUAUUUUGUUGGUUUGCGCACCGUGGUAAUGAUGAAUAGGGACAGUUGUGGGUAUUAGUAUUCAGUUGUAAGAGGUGAAAUUCUUAGAUUAACGGAAGACUCACUACUGCGAAAGCAUUUACCAAGGAUGUUUUCA
rnacentral:rRNA from 1 species